rnacentral:rRNA from 1 species
UGUGUAGGCGUCUUAGCAAGUCGAACGUGAAAUCCCACAGCUCAACUGUGGAACUGCAUUCGAUACUGCUGAGAUUGAGUACGGAAGGGGAGAAUGGAAUUCCCGGUGUAAGAGUGAAAUCUGUAGAUAUCGGGAGGAACACCAGUGGCGAAGGCGAUUCUCUGGUCCGAUACUGACGCUGAGACACGAAAGCUAGGGGAGCGAACAGGAUUAGAUACCCUGGUAGUCC